rnacentral:lncRNA from 1 species
UAAAUGAUGCUAAGUUUCACCCUAAUAAGUACAUAAACAACAAAAGCAUGGGGGUACAUAAGCCCCAUGUACAAACAGCAUUUUUAGUUUGUAUCCUUGAAUUCUGAAUCCAAGAAAAGGUAUAGCCUAUAUAACUUUCCAAACCCGUAAAGACCCAGCUACAAAUGGCAAUCGAUGCUAUCCUCAAGUGUUGUGAACCGAGUAAAUUUCUACCUUGUCAAAAAGGAAUAAUGUCCAACGUUUCUAAAGCUACAGGAAAUAGGGUAUG